rnacentral:lncRNA from 1 species
CAAGAAGAAGCGCCACCUGGAGCAUUUCUUUGCCUCCCUUGAUGAGGCAAUGAGUGCCGCACAGCCUCUCCACAAAGACCUGAAGCCUACAGCUUCAGUUUGUGUCCUUUCAAGCCUCGUCAAGGAGAGGAUGGAGGCUUUUAUUUCCCCCUACCACCCGGAUGCGUUGCAUCAUGUCCCGACCAUUACGUAUGAGGGCACUAGCCUCCUGGAAGCAAG